AGGCAGCAGUGGGGGAAUAUUGCACAAUGGGCGCAAGCCUGAUGCAGCCAUGCCGCGUGUAUGAAGAAGGCCUUCGGGUUGUAAAGUACUUUCAGCAGUGAGGAAGGUGGUGUCGUUAAUAGCGGCAUCAUUUGACGUUAGCUGCAGAAGAAGCACCGGCUAACUCCGUGCCAGCAGCCGCGGUAAUACGGAGGGUGCGAGCGUUAAUCGGAAUUACUGGGCGUAAAGCGCAUGCAGGUGGUUUGUUAAGUCAGAUGUGAAAGCCCGGGGCUCAACCUCGGAAUUGCAUUUGAAACUGGCAGACUAGAGUACUGUAGAGGGGGUAGGAAUUUCAGGUGUAGCGGUGAAAUGCGUAGAGAUCUGAAGGAAUACCGGUGGCGAAGGCGGCCCCCUGGACAGAUACUGACACUCAGAUGCGAAAGCGUGGGGAGCAAACAGGAUUAGAUACCCUGGUAG
rnacentral:rRNA from 1 species